rnacentral:rRNA from 1 species
UACAGAGGGUGCGAGCGUUGUUCGGAAUUAUUGGGCGUAAAGGGCGCGUAGGCGGGCGCCACAAGUCACUUGUGAAAACUCUGGGCUCAACUCAGAGCCUGCAAGCGAAACUGUGGUGCUGGAGUAUGGGAGAGGUGCGUGGAAUUCCCAGUGUAGAGGUGAAAUUCGUAGAUAUUGGGAAGAACACCGGUGGCGAAGGCGGCGACCUGGUCCGAUACUGACGCUGAGGCGCGAAAGCGUGGGGAGCAAACAGG